UACGUAGGUGACCAGCGUUGUCCGGAUUUACUGGGCGUAAAGAGCGCGCAGGCGGUCGUUCAAGUCGAGUGUGAAAGCCCCCGGCUCAACUGGGGAGGGUCACUUGAUACUGAUCGACUCGAAGGCAGGAGAGGGAAGCGGAAUUCCCGGUGUAGUGGUGAAAUGCGCAGAUAUCAGGAGGAACACCGGUGGCGAAGGCGGGUCUCUGGGCCGAUACUGACGCUGAGGAGCGAAAGCGUGGGGAGCGAACAGG
rnacentral:rRNA from 1 species